rnacentral:rRNA from 1 species
ACAGGAUUCCCCUAGCAACUGCGAGUGAACCGGGAAAAGCUCAAAUUUAAAAUCUGGCGGUCCCUGUGGCCGUCCGAGUUGUAAUUUAGAGAAGCGUUAUCCACGCUGGCCCGUACACAAGUCCUCUGGAAGGAGGCAUCAUAGAGGGUGAGAAUCCCGUCUUUGGUACGGAUAACCAGGGUUAUGUGAUACGCUCUCGACGAGUCGAGUUGUUUGGGAAUGCAGCUCAAAGUGGGUGGUAAAUUCCAUCUAAAGCUAAAUAUUGGGGAGAGACCGAUAGCGCACAAGUACCGUGAGGGAAAGAUGAAAAGAACUUUGGAAAGAGAGUUAAACAGUACGUGAAAUUGCUGAAAGGGAAACGCUUGAAGUCAGUCGUCCUGGGCGGAAAUCAACCUUGCUUUGCUUGGCCUACUUUCUGCUCGGGGGGUCAACGUCAGUUUCGGUCGGUGGACAAAGGUUUGGGGAAUGUGGCACCUUCGGGUGUGUUAUAGCCCUGGAUCGGUAUACGCUGGCUGGGAUUGAGGACCGCGGCGCGCCUUUAUGGCCGGGCAUUCGUGCUACGUUACGCGCUAAGGAUGUUGGCAUAAUGGCUUUAAUCGA